UACGAAGGGGGCUAGCGUUGCUCGGAAUCACUGGGCGUAAAGGGUGCGUAGGCGGGUUUUAAGUCAGAGGUGAAAUCCUGGAGCUACAACUCCAGAACUGCCCUUUGGAUACUGAAAGUUCUUAGAGUAUGGGAGAGGUGAGUGGAACUGCGAGUGUAGAGGUGAAAUUCGUAGAUAUUCGCAAGAACACCAGUGGCGAAGGCGGCUCACUGGCCCAUAACUGACGCUGAGGCACGAAAGCGUGGGGAGCAAACAGG
rnacentral:rRNA from 1 species